GAUUUCUGGUACGGUGCGCCUGACCCACUGUCGAAAGGCGUGUGAAGUGUCGGUGUGCGUCUGCCAUCCUUCUAGGAAUUCUAUCGCACUUCACUGGGCGGUAGUUGAACUAGAUCUUUUACUUUGAAAAAAUUAGAGUGUUUAAAGCAGGCUUGCGCCUUGAAUACAUUAGCAUGGAAUAAUAAUUUAGGACUUUGUUCCUAUUUUGUUGGUUUUAAGGAAUUAAGUAAUGAUUGAUAGGGAUAGUUGGGGGUGCUAGUAUUCAUCGGCCAGAGGUGAAAUUCUUGGAUUCGAUGAAGACUAACUUAUGCGAAAGCAUU
rnacentral:rRNA from 2 species